AUUGAACGCUGGCGGCAUGCUUUACACAUGCAAGUCGAACGGUAACAGGCCGCAAGGUGCUGACGAGUGGCGAACGGGUGAGUAAUGCAUCGGAACGUGCCCAGUCGUGGGGGAUAACGCAGCGAAAGCUGCGCUAAUACCGCAUACGAUCUAUGGAUGAAAGCGGGGGACCGUAAGGCCUCGCGCGAUUGGAGCGGCCGAUGUCAGAUUAGGUAGUUGGUGGGGUAAAGGCUCACCAAGCCGACGAUCUGUAGCUGGUCUGAGAGGACGACCAGCCACACUGGGACUGAGACACGGCCCAGACUCCGACGGGAGGCAGCAGUGGGGAAUUUUGGACAAUGGGGGCAACCCUGAUUCAGCAAUGCCGCGUGCAGGAAGAAGGCCUUCGGGUUGUAAACUGCUUUUGUACGGAACGAAACGGCUCUGGUUAAUACCUGGGGCUAAUGACGGUACCGUAAGAAUAAGCACCGGCUAACUACGUGCCAGCCGCCGCCGUAA
rnacentral:rRNA from 1 species